rnacentral:rRNA from 1 species
CCCCGCAAGGGGUUAGUAGAGUGGCAAACGGGUGAGUAACGCGUGGGUGACCUGCCUUCGAGCGGGGGAUAACGUUUCGAAAGGAACGCUAAUACCGCAUAACAUCCUGCCCUUGAACGGGUGGAGAUCAAAGCUAGGGAUUCGCAAGAACCUGGCACUUGAAGAGGGGCCCGCGUCUGAUUAGCUAGUUGGUGAGGUAACGGCUCACCAAGGCAACGAUCAGUAUCCGGCCUGAGAGGGCGGACGGACACACUGGGACUGAGACACGGCCCAGACUCCUACGGGAGGCAGCAGUGGGGAAUUGUUCGCAAUGGGCGCAAGCCUGACGACGCAACGCAGCGUGGAGGAUGAAGAUUUUCGGAUCGUAAACUCCUGUCGAAUGGGACGAAAAGAUUGCGGGUUAACAGCCUGUAGUCCUGACGGUACCGUUAAAGGAAACCCCGGCUAACUCCGUGCCAGCAGCCGCGGUAAUACGGGGGGGGUAAGCGUUGUUCGGAAUUACUGGGCGUAAAGGGCUCGUAGGCGGCCAACUAAGUCGGACGUGAAAUCCCUCAGCUUAACUGGGGAACUGCGUCCGAUACUGGAUGGCUUGGAUUUGGGAGAGGGAUGCGGAAUUCCAGGUGUAGCGGUGAAAUGCGUAGAUAUCUGGAGGAACACCGGUGGCGAAGGCGGCAUCCUGGACCAAUAUUGACGCUGAGGAGCGAAAGCUAGGGGAGCAAACGGGAUUAGAUACCCCGGUAGUCCUAGCCCUAAACGAUGAAUGCUAGGUGUGGCGGGUAUCGAUCCCCGCCGUGCCGAAGCUAACGCAUUAAGCAUU